rnacentral:rRNA from 1 species
UGCCAGCCGCCGCGGUAAUACGGAGGGUGCAAGCGUUGUUCGGAAUUAUUGGGCGUAAAGAGCAUGUAGGCGGACUAUUAAGUCUGGCGUGAAAGCCCGGGGCUCAACCCCGGAAGUGCGUUGGAUACUGGUAGUCUUGAGUAUGGGAGAGGAAAGUGGAAUUCCGAGUGUAGAGGUGAAAUGCGUAGAUAUCUGGAGGAACACCCGUGGCGAAAGCGGCUCACUGGCGCAACACUGACGCUGAGGCUCGAAAGCGUGGGGAGCGAACGGGAUUAGAUA